rnacentral:lncRNA from 1 species
CAGUUAUGUAGAUAAAGGAAGGCGGACUAGGUGGUGGUGGACAGUAUUGGGAUGGCGACUUUUUUGGUGGUGGCGGCGGAAGAGCAGGCGGUGAUGGUGGUGGAGGGCAUGGUGGAGGCGGCGACGGUGGUGGAGGACUUUGUACGCAUGAUGGGGUACACUUGAUGCCUUGAUCACCUGGUACCGUGCUCUCGUCAAGCUUCCUUGAUUCCAAAGCGUCGAUGGGGUAUGCAAC